ACACGCCCUACUCUGCCUCUGAUUGGCAAGUACUCAUUGCCUUCGUUGGUUGGAUUGGUUAGGUUUAGGCAAGAGGCGUGACAUUGGCUAGGGAUAGGGUAAGAAUGCCAGGGUAAGCCAAUUAGAGGCCGAGUAGAACGGGUCAUGCCUUUGUCAUCCUAGGAAAAGAAAUAUCCCUUUCAGGAUCGUGUUAGCGUGACACAGAUUGCGCUUAAGGACAAUACGAUGGGGAAGCAGCACCUGCAGCUACUUCCUGCUCACUGUCAGCCUGACACAAGACCUCACCACUGCAGCUGCCACAACUCAGACUUUCCACCACUGUGCAAGCCUCAUAAAACUCAAGACGGGCAACAGAGAGAGAGGGAGAAAGAAAGGGGCCGAGACUCUGGAUUGAAAUGUGCCAAAUCAGCUGGAAGAGACACACCAGCCGCUGUGACUCAGGCAGGAUGCCAACAACGAUCAGGGCACACCCAAAGCUAUGCCAAACUCUCUCUUGAGCCGCUUGCAAAACCAAUUCAGCGACACUUCCCUUUUGAUUACAUCAGAUGCUGACUCUGUGUUGAGAGAAGAUUGAUUAGACUCUAGCUGACAUGCAGACAGCAUAGCUAGGAACUUUAGAGGCUUUUAAAUGGGUUUUUAUAGGCUCAAAGAGAGCUUAGAAGUAGCUCAAAAGGGCAGAAUCACAGUAUGCCAUACCCAUCCAUCAGUGUAACUUGAUACCCUUAUUGAUAUGUUUCUAAUGAAAGAUGUUGAGUGACAAUAACAGGGCUAA